rnacentral:rRNA from 1 species
AUUGAACGCUGGCGGCAGGCCUAACACAUGCAAGUCGAGCGGAUGAAGGGAGCUUGCUCCUGGAUUCAGCGGCGGACGGGUGAGUAAUGCCUAGGAAUCUGCCUGGUAGUGGGGGAUAACGUCCGGAAACGGGCGCUAAUACCGCAUACGUCCUGAGGGAGAAAGUGGGGGAUCUUCGGACCUCACGCUAUCAGAUGAGCCUAGGUCGGAUUAGCUAGUUGGUGGGGUAAAGGCCUACCAAGGCGACGAUCCGUAACUGGUCUGAGAGGAUGAUCAGUCACACUGGAACUGAGACACGGUCCAUACUCCUACGGUAGGCAGCAGUGGGGAAUAUUGGACAAUGGGCGAAAGCCUGAUCCAGCCAUGCCGCGUGUGUGAAGAAGGUCUUCGGAUUGUAAAGCACUUUAAGUUGGGAGGAAGGGCAGUAAGUUAAUACCUUGCUGUUUUGACGGUACCAACAGAAUAAGCACCGGCUAACUUCGUG